UACGUAGGUGGCGAGCGUUGUCCGGAUUUACUGGGCGUAAAGGGAGCGUAGGCGGACUUUUAAGUGAGAUGUGAAAUACCCGGGCUCAACUUGGGUGCUGCAUUUCAAACUGGAAGUCUAGAGUGCAGGAGAGGAGAAUGGAAUUCCUAGUGUAGCGGUGAAAUGCGUAGGGAUUAGGAAGAACACCAGUGGCGAAGGCGAUUCUCUGGACUGUAACUGACGCUGAGGCUCGAAAGCGUGGGGAGCAAACAGGAUUAGAUACCCCGGUAGUCCCU
rnacentral:rRNA from 1 species